rnacentral:rRNA from 1 species
AUUGAACGCUGGCGGCAGGCCUAACACAUGCAAGUCGAACGGUAACAGGAAACAGCUUGCUGUUUCGCUGACGAGUGGCGGACGGGUGAGUAAUGUCUGGGAAACUGCCUGAUGGAGGGGGAUAACUACUGGAAACGGUAGCUAAUACCGCAUAACGUCGCAAGACCAAAGAGGGGGACCUUCGGGCCUCUUGCCAUCGGAUGUGCCCAGAUGGGAUUCGCUAGUAGGUGGGGUAACGGCUCACCUAGGCGACGAUCCCUAGCUGGUCUGAGAGGAUGACCAGCCACACUGGAACUGAGACACGGUCCAGACGCCUACGGGAGGCAGCAGUGGGGAAUAUUGCACAAUGGGCGCAAGCCUGAUGCAGCCAUGCCGCGUGUAUGAAGAAGGCCUUCGGGUUGUAAAGUACUUUCAGCGGGGAGGAAGGGAGUAAAGUUAAUACCUUUGCUCAUUGACGUUACCCGCAGAAGAAGCACCGGCUAACUCCGUGCCAGCCGCCGCAGUAA